AUGCUUUGGUGGCACAAACACUAAAAUCGGAACACUGCAGAGAGGACAGGCCUGGUCCCUGGGCAAGGGUGACAUGCCAGUUCCGUGAAGUGUUCCAAGUUCCG